rnacentral:rRNA from 1 species
AUGUACGCCUUGUCGCUUUUUUGGGUGAGCAGAAAUUUCUCGUUUGGGAAAAUAGACCUCAGCUCUUCGACACGCCGUGGGCUCAAAACCCUGCGAAGUGGUUGCCCGACUUUCACGCUUCCCGCUUCUACUAUUAACCGGUUAGGGAACAGAAGAUCUUCUCUGUAUCUUAGCUCAGCUGGGCUUGAAACCUUUCCGCUCUGCAGAGUAAGGAACGGAAUUAGUAUUGCAGUAAUUCGGAAAACAGGAAGCAUUUACAGUUACAGGUCAAACGUAAGAAACCUUGAUAAAAUCAGCCACCACCAUUGCUGUUCUUUGUGGAUUAAGUGUGUUUAUAGGAGUUGCUCUCAUCUCUUGCACCACUCCCCAUAUAUGCACAGCAGAAAGCAAUGGGCCUAUGAUUAG